AUCAUUUAUUUUCCCUUAUAUAUUUUUAAGUAAUUGACAUGAUUUUGUAAAAAUCUGUUUUCACUUUGAUAUUGAAGAGGCUUUUGUUGCAAAUUCUUGUCAAAAAAGCCAGAUUAUAUUGACCAUGAUUUCAUGUAUAAAAGCAACAAAAGGGUGAAACAUCCAAGGGAGGUGAAUGCUUUUUAUAGGUAGUGUAUGUUAGUGCAAAGCAGAGCUCCUUCAGCAAUUUAUUAAGCUCACUUUAGCUCCUCCACUGCUUCUCAAAUGUGCCCAGUUCCACUUCCUUUUCAGUGAAAACCAUUGUUCACUCACCACCAUUGCAGCAUAGUGUCUGUUUUGUUUUCAUGUUAUUACUUAUGACUCCAAACAAUAUUAUGUGAUGCAGAUGGAUUCAUUGAGUCAUUUUUCUUUACAUAGAAAAAAACUGUUUAAUCAUGAAUCAAUCAGAAAUCAAAUUUAAACUUAAUUUUAUAUGUAACUUUUAAAACCAGUCAAAGGCAGUUCAGUUGCUGUAUAAGCAACAGACAAAGCAGGAUGUUGGAAAUAGAUUGAGAGACUUAAUACACAUGAAAACAGCUGAAUAAUAUUAAAUGUUUGACAGGUAGUUAAGAUGAUUAAGAAAACACAAAUAUGAAAAACUACACAAAUACAUUUGUUACAUGAACAGUAACAUAAAUGAUCAAGUAGAACAAUACUAAUUUUAUGGUAAAUAUAGAAUAUACAUAUAAAUGUGAAAACCAUAAAAUGCUAAAAUACUGUAUUAAAGCCAUAUUGAAUAGAUGGGUUUAUAUCAAACAUCAGAAAUUAUUUUCUUUUUUGUACAUUCAAACAUACAAACGACCAAACUUCAUUUCUUUAAUGCUUUUCUACAUUUUAAGUAUGAUUUUUGAUCAUAUUGAGUGACUAAAUUUCUUAUUGAUAAAGUUUUACUUUACUUUAGCAUGCUGUUGUUAAACAAUAUCACUGGCAGUGUUAUUGACACUUUUAAAAUGCACAGUGGUCUAAAAUGAAACCCAUAAAAGAAAGGACAUUCGACCAACAGGACUGCUAAUAAAGUGAAAUCUUAACCAAAAGUGCGUCACUUUGGGUUCUCUGGAGGUAUUUGUAAGUUACUGCUUGACCAACAGUCUAAUGCUAUUUUAUGUUGAGAAUCUUAACACAACGUUAGACUAUUGAAGCACAUUUUAAAACAAAAAUGAUCAAAGCUGAUGAAGCAGAACCAGACUUAUCUUCUUAUUCAACAACAUUGUUGUUGUCGUUUAAGCUGGUGCCGACAUUACCCACAAUACAAUUCCGAAGCUGCCCGAUUCGUCGCGGAUUCAGUUCAUAGACGGUUUAUAUACAGUCUGUGAUUCAGUUGCAUUAUAUGUAUUGUAAAGUCCAAAGAAGCUACACUCUCAAUCACUGAUGUUUUCUAAAUAUGCAGUAUGGCUCACUAACACCUGAAGCAUUUUUAGAUUUAAAAAUAAAAAUAAAAAAUUGGUGUCAUUGCCCUUUAAAAAGGGCGUCAAUGCGCAUGCCCAGUCUUCCUCAUAGCUUAGAUACAUCCGACGCAGCAGGUGGCGCUAACGCACAGAGAGGACAGGACAAAGAAGUCAUCAGAAAGCUGGCACAUGUGUGGAUCAGUUACAAGCUGGAGGUCCUCAGGAGUGUUACUAGAGAUCAGCUGCAAAAAAAAAAAAAGAAGUUCCGGCUAAAUAAGCCAUGUGGACCUGAUAGGGUCAUACUGCUGAGGUGAGGACAGAGUUUGGCCGACCCAGCUACAUCUGCCAUAUCCACUUGAUAGGUUUGUUUUUGUUUUAAAUUCAUUGCCAAAUAAAGGCAAAUUGUGAAACGCA